rnacentral:tRNA from 1 species
GAUGGUGUAGCUCAGUAGGAUAGAAGCAGCAGCCUUCUAAGCUGUCGGUCGGUGGUUCGAAUCCAUCCACCAUCGCCA